GACGAACGCUGGCGGCGUGCUUAACACAUGCAAGUCGAGCGGUAAGGCUCCUUCGGGAGUACACGAGCGGCGAACGGGUGAGUAACACGUGAGCAAUCUGCCCUUCACUCUGGGAUAACCCCCGGAAACGGGAGCUAAUACCGGAUACGACCACUUCAGGCAUCUGAUGGUGGUGGAAAGUUCCGGCGGUGAAGGAUGAGCUCGCGGCCUAUCAGCUUGUUGGUGAGGUAAUGGCUCACCAAGGCUUCGACGAGUAGCCGGCCUGAGAGGGUGGCCGGCCACACGGGGACUGCGACACGGCGCAGACGCCUACGGGAGGCAGCAGUGGGGAAUAUUGGACAAUGGGCGAAAGCCUGAUUCAGCAACGCCGCGUGAGGGAUGACGGCCUUCGGGUUGUAAACCUCUUUCAGCAGGGACGAAGCGAAAGUGACGGUACCUGCAGAAGAAGGACCGGCCAACUACGUGCCAGCCGCCGCCGUAACAC
rnacentral:rRNA from 1 species